rnacentral:lncRNA from 1 species
GCCACACAUUCCAAGGUGGACAUGUCCAGUGCCAGGAUUCUGUCCUGCUUUUCCAAGAUUCCAGAGUAUCAACAAGACAUAUCACUCCACCAGGACUCAUGUGGGGGCUUACUUACUGCACCACUCAUACUGCAUAAAUCUACCUAAUGAGCAUAUAAACCCCGAAGAGACUGGACUGAGCCGCCCAAGAAUUUCUUCCAUGUCUG